GACGAACGCUGGCGGCGUGCUUAACACAUGCAAGUCUUGACCGGCGAACGGGUGCGUAACACGUGAGGACCUACCCUAAAUGGGGGAUAGCCGGCCCAACGGCCGGGUAAUACCGCAUAGGAGGGGCUCGCGGCCUAUCAGCUAGUUGGUGAGGUAACGGCUCACCAAGGCUAUGACGGGUAGCUGGUCUGAGAGGAUGGCCAGCCACAUUGGGACUGAGAUACGGCCCAGACUCCUACGGGAGGCAGCAGUGGGGAAUAUUGCGCAAUGGCCGAAAGGCUGACGCAGCGACGCCGCGUGGAGGAUGACGCCCUUCGGGGUGUAAACUCCUGUUGCCCGGGAUGACGGUACCGGGUGAGGAAGCACCGGCUAACUACGUGCCAGCAGCCGCGGUAAUACGUAGGGUGCAAGCGUUAAUCGGAAUUACUGGGCGUAAAGCGUGCGCAGGCGGUGAUGUAAGACAGUUGUGAAAUCCCCGGGCUCAACCUGGGAACUGCAUCUGUGACUGCAUCGCUGGAGUACGGCAGAGGGGGAUGGAAUUCCGCGUGUAGCAGUGAAAUGCGUAGAUAUGCGGAGGAACACCGACGGCGAAGGCAAUCCCCUGGGCCCGUACUGACGCUCAUGCACGAAAGCGUGGGGAGCAAACAGGAUUAGAUACCCUGGUAGUCCACGCCCUAAACGAUGUCAACUGGUUGUUGGUAACGAAGCUAACGCGUGAAGUGACC
rnacentral:rRNA from 1 species